CACUGCCACUUUCACCAUCCCAUAUCCACGCUUCGCAGAGACACCUGCAAAAACACUUGCAAUGCAAGACUCAGCCACAACUGAGCCUCAGAGUGUGACAUCUAGGGGACACCUUGACAAAGAACCACAGGAGAAACCAAAGAGAUCCAACAUUCCGCUGCUGCCAGGUGUUGAGGAAAUGCACACACCCUCAUGAGAGAGACACAAACCAUCACAGAGCAUCAGAAGUGGAUGAAACUUCUUGGCCUGGAGAAUUAAAAAAAAAAAAAAAAGAAAGAAAGGAAAGCACUGUGAGACUUUUGCCCCAUCACAGAUUGAAGGAAAAGGUGAAAAAAACAGAAUGUAGAAGUCAUAAAACUGCAGAGGCCUAUUAUCUAAACAUCUGACAUGACAUUGCCCCAUCUUAUAACUGAAGUUCUCAAGACUGAGUGAAAAAAUCAAGAAAGAACAUGUGUUCUGAGAUAGCAUCAAUAGUAUGUUCUUUCUGUAAAUAAAGCACAUUAAUGUACUGAAUAAGAUGGAUUUCAAAAUUUGGUAA
ensembl:lncRNA novel transcript